ensembl:lncRNA
GGGUGCUAUGAAUUAUGGGAUAUGGAGUUUUGUAACAAGCAUACAGAUUUUCAGCCGUACUACUCCCGGUAUACCACUAGAGAGAGCCAACACACCACAAAUAAAGUCUGUUUCUAUGGAAAUUGGCCUAAAUUUGCACUAAAAUCUAAAUAUUUCAAAAACUAUAAAAGUUAUAAACACCAAAAGUGUAUACCAUACUAGUCCAGCUCCAGCCGCACAAAAUGAUCUAACAUAUGUAACCCUAUUUUCAAAACUCUUUGGCAGAGAAGCGCGGGAAAAUUUUCACUAAAAUAUUAAUAUUUAAAAAACUAUAAUAGUUAUAAACACCAAAAGUCAUAGCACACCAUUCCUGCUCCAGCCGCACAAAAUGAGGUAACAUAUAUGAAGCUUGUCUCAAAACUGCGGGGCGAGUUUCGCUGCAAAAUUUCAGGCGGAAACUGAAGAAUAAUAAUAAUAAUAAUAAAUCCGACGAAUAGUAAUAUGUGUGCCUCUUUCCAUAGGCACACAUAAUAAUAAAUCCGAGGAAUAGUAAUAUGUGUGCCUCUUGGCAUAGGCACACAUAAUAAUAAAUCCGAGGAAUAGUAAUAUGUGUGCCUCUUGGCAUAGGCACACAUAACUAUUGAUAACUUUUCUGUUAAGUUAAGGCCUGAUCCUUCUGAAAUUCAUAGCCAGCUCUGACACGGUGUCAUCAAUCUUUUGUAGCGCCCCUGACUCAGUACUCCACUACAGCCGGGUACGCCCUGAGUUCUAGUUACCUUGAACUUACCCAGUUGCCCUCAGUGCAAGCCUGGAUCGAUGCUGGUGUGCGUAGGAACCAACGGUCCUAAAAGAAAACAAAAUGGUGCUCCUACCUGGAACUCUAAGUCUCUUUCCACAAACUCACAGCAAGUCGAGAGGUCCGUCCCUAGUCCAUGCAGCUGCACACUUACUCCUUCCGAGCAGCAAACCUUAUCGGUCAGCCUCAGCAGUUGGUAGCCUCUCGCUCUGUACAGGUCCGGUGAUCCUUAGCUAAGUCCGCCUUGAGGGCUAACUCCGGUUAGCCAAGUUAGCACGCCGCUAACUAAGGAUAUUUCGAGGCAACAGUGCAAACUAGUCCGGGCCGCACCACCUCACAGUCACGCUCUGUUACUCAGCCGUCGACGUGGGAUGAUUUAUCCUCGCCGUCCCGUGGGAAAAGUCUCCGUAGACGCUAGCCGCAUCUCACCCAUGCUUCUCUCUCCUCCGAUCUCUCGUGGCUGCUGCCUUCUCCUUCGUUUCUUU